rnacentral:rRNA from 1 species
CACGCCGUAAACUAUGGAUGCUAGCUGUUAUGAGUAUCGACCCUCGUAGUAGCGAAGCUAACGCGUUAAGCAUCCCGCCUGUGGAGUACGAGCGCAAGCUUAAAACAUAAAGGAAUUGACGGGGACCCGCACAAGCGGUGGAGCGUGUUCUUUAAUUCGAUGGUAAGCGAAGAACCUUACCAGGGUUUGACAUCCUACUAAUCCGACCGAAAGGUUGGAGUGUCUUCGGACCGUAGUGACAGGUGU